GUCGUCGCUCGCGGAUUGGCUGGCGCGGAUUCCAGCUGCUUUCCAAGUUGGAGGCGCCUAGUGAGGGUCAGGGAGGCCCGGCCCGCGCCCUCCCCGCCCAGCCGCCUCCCCGUCGACCACCCAGGGCUGGGGCGAGCCAGGCUGCCUUUCGAACUUGGGGGCUUCUCCUCUUGUCUCCCACUGGUGCUCUGGCCGUGAAUCCAUCCAGGCGCCAGGAGAUGACAAUCCGGUACCAAGGCCGGCAGUACAGGCUGAGGAUGGCAUUUCUCCAAAAGGUUUCCAAGCUGCGUCCUGGGCCUGGAGACUGAGACAGAGAUCCACGGACUGCAGUGCAGGCAGCCCACCCCAGAUCCGAGUCAUAUAAGGUUGAAAUAUCAGUAAAAAACAUGCAGACCCAAAGAUGGGGACCAAAAUCCAAAGCCAGAGGGUCCUGGAAAUCAGAGGGUCUUACAACAUAACAGGCAGUACAGGCCAUGGCUCAGGCUAGGCGUGGAACAGACUGCAGUUCUCUUCUACAAAUCAAUCUAGACUGGACAGACAGAACUCCAAGGGAGGAAAGAAAAAUGAAUCUGAUGUUACUUCUUGAAACCACAUUUUCUGAAGUCACCAUUUUUAUGUAUCUAUCAACUCAUCAUUUUUAUGUCCAGUCACAUCUUCUAUGCCUAUCUCAGCUGCUGACACGUGACUCAGCUGCUCCCAUUUUCCUUGGAAAAGUAGGAGCUGGAAAGGACCUCAGUCAGAGGUCAUCCACAUCAACCAUCUCAUUUCACUGAUGAGGAAACUGAGACUUGGACCAGGGGAAGUCAGCUGCCAUGUUGUGAGGACACUCAAGCAAUCCUAUGGAGAGGCCCAUGUGAUGAGGAACUGAAGCCUCCUGCCAACAGCCAUGUGAGGGCACCAUCUUGGAAGCAGAUCCGCCAACUUCACCCAAGCCUUCAGAUGAAUAUAGCCCUGACCGACAUCUUCACUACAAUCUCAUGAGAGAACCUGCGCCAGCACUACCUAGCUAUGAUGCUGCAAAAUUCCUGACCCAUAGAAACUGUGAGAUAAUAAAUGCCUGUUGUGUUAAGCCACAAGUUUUGUGGAAAUUUGUUACUCAGCAAUAACUAACAUGAGAGUUAGCUGAAGGUCACAUUCUUGUUGAGUAGUGGAAAGGGUUUUGUUAACCCUUCACCCACUGUGGUUCACUUGAUAAAUGAUAGAUGAA
rnacentral:lncRNA from 1 species